CUAGCAUCAGCACCAGCCUUUGCCAGCUGCCACACACAGAGAAUAUGACUCAAACCCACAGCUGGGCCAUGGGAUGGGAAUGGGAGUUACUAGAGAAACUCUAGAAGGGGGCACUAGAGGAAAAGCUAGUCUGUUCUAUGGAGAGAAAUCAGCUUAAAGAGAGAUUAACUUACAGCUCUAACAGCUCUAACACAGGCCUGAAGAGAAACUCAC